rnacentral:rRNA from 1 species
UGAGGAAUAUUGCUCAAUGGGCGAAAGCCUGAAGCAGCAACGCCGCGUGCGCGAUGAAGGUCUUCGGAUCGUAAAGCGCUUUUGAGAGGGACGAGAUAGGACGGUACCUCUUGAAUAAGUCACGGCUAACUACGUGCCAGCAGCCGCGGUAAAACGUAGGUGGCAAGCGUUAUCCGGAUUCACUGGGCGUAAAGCGCGUGCAGGUGGCUUCGUAAGUUGGACGUUAAAUCUUUCGGCCUAACCGGGAGGUGUCGUUCAAUACUGCGGAGCUUGAGGAUAGAAGAGGGGGGUGGAAUUGCCGGUGUAGUGGUGAAAUGCGUAGAUAUCGGCAGGAACACCUGUGGCGAAAGCGGCCCCCUGGUCUGCUCCUGACACUCAGACGCGAAAGCUAGGGGAGUGAACG